UGGGGAAUAUUGCACAAUGGAGGGAACUCUGAUGCAGCGACGCCGCGUGAGUGAUGAAGGAAUUCGUUUCGUAAAACUCUUUUCUAUGGGAAGAAAAGGACUGUACCAUAGGAGAAAGCUCCGGCUAAAUACGUGCCAGCAGCCGCGGUAAUACGUAUGGAGCGAGCGUUGUCCGGAAUUAUUGGGCGUAAAGGGUGCGCAGGCGGCUUUACAAGUUGGAUGUGAAAUAUUGUGGCUCAACCACAAACGUGCAUCCAAAACUGCAAAGCUUGAGUUAAGGAGAGGUAAGUGGAAUUCCUGGUGUGGCGGUGGAAUGCGUAGAUAUCAGGAGGAAUACCGGUGGCGAAGGCGACUUACUGGACUUAAACUGACGCUCAGGCACGAAGGGGUGGGGAGCAAACAGG
rnacentral:rRNA from 1 species